AAGAGUCAUAUUCUUUGUCUCAAAGAUUGCCAUGCAGGUGUGGGGUAUGAACUAUUUCAGACUGUGAAACUGCGAAUGGCUCAUUAAAUCAGUUAUAGUUUGUUUGAUGGUACGCGCUACUCGGAUAACCGUAGUAAUUCUAGAGCUAAUACGCGCAACAAACCCCGACUUCCGGAAGGGAUGCAUUUAUUAGAUAAAGGCUGACGGGCUUUGCCCGCGUUCGAUGAUUCAUGAUAACUCGACGGAUCAGACGCCCCUCGUGUCGGGCGAAUUUAAUCAUUCAAAUUUCUGCCCUAUCAACUUUCGGAUGGUAGGAUAGCCUACCAUGGUGGUGACGGUGACGGAGAAUUAGGGUUCGAUUCCGGAGAGGGAGCCCGAGAAACGGCUACCACAUCCAAGGAAGGCAGCAAAGCGCCAGUAAAUUACCCAACUCGACACGGGAGGUAGUGACAAUAAAUAACAAUAAAUACCGGCUCUUCGAAGUCCGGUAAUUGGAAUGAGUACACCCAAAUCCCUUAACAAGGAUCCAUUGAGGGCAAGUCCGGUGCCGUGAGGGUAAUUCCAGCUCCAAUAGCGAUAUUUAAGUUGUUGUAGUUAAAAAAGCUCAGAGUUGACUUUGGGACGGUCGGUCGUUCGCCCGGGCGGUGUAACGGCCGCCCCAUCCUUCGUCGGCGAUGCGGCCUGGCCUUAACUGGUUGGGUCGGCCUCCCAAGACUGUUAUUUUGAAGAAAUUAGAGUGUUUCAAAGCAUGCCCACGCUCGAUACAUUAGCAUGGGAUAACAUCACAGGAUUUCGGUCCUAUUGUGUUGGCCUUCUGGAUCGGAGUAAUGAUUAAGAGGGACAAAUGGGGCAUUCGUAUUUCAUAGUCGAGGUGAAAUUUUGGAUUUAUGAAAGACAAACCAUCGCGAAAAGCAUUUGCCAAGGAUGUUUUCAUUAAUCAAGAACGAAAAGUUGGGGGGCUCAAGACGAUCGAUACCGCCCUAGUCUCAACUAUAAACGAUGUCCACUGUGGAUCGGCAUGGAUGUUGUUUUUAGGACUCCGCCGGUACCUUAUGAGAAAUCAAAGUCUUUGGGUUCCGGGGAGUAUGGUCGCAAGGCUGAAACUUAAAGGAAUUGACGGAAGGGCACCACAGAGGGAGCUCCGGGGUUUGAUUUGACUCAACACGGGAAACUUACCUGUGUCCGCACAUAUGGAUUGAUAGACCGGGAGAGCUCUUUCUUUGAUUCUAUGGGUGGUGGUGCAUGGCCGCUUUAGUUGGUGGAGCGAUUUGUCCGGUUAAUUCGAUAACGAAGCAGACCUCACCGCUAACUAGUUACGCGGAGGCAUCCCUCCCAGCCAGCCUUCUUAGAGGGACUAUGGCCGCUUAGGCCAUGGAAGUUUGAGGCAAUAACAGGUCCUGUGAUGCCCUUAGAUGUUCGGGGUCGCGACGCUACAAUCGAUGUAUUCAACGAAGCCCAUAGCCUUGGCCGACAUGCCGGGUAAUCUUUUGAAAAUUUCAUCGUGAUGGGGAUAGAUCAUUGCAAUUGUUGGUCUUCAAUGAGGAAUUCCUAGUAAGCUGAAGUCAUCAGCUCGCUGAUCGCGCCCCUGCCCUUUGUACACACCGCCUGGCCGCUUCCUACCGAUUGAAUGGUCCGUGAAGUGUUCGAUCGAGCCGACGAGGGCGGUUCGCCGCCCGCGACGCUAUGCAGAAGUCCACCGAACCUUAUCAUUUAGAGGAAGGAGAAGUCGAAUAAGGUUUCAGAGGUGAACUCCACGGAAG
rnacentral:rRNA from 1 species